AUCUGUGUGCUUGUAAAACCAAACAUGUACUAUUUGGGAUUGGUUGUGGACUUGUGGGUCAAAGACUCGCAUGCCUAGAAAGAAAGAAAGAAAGAAAGCAAGCAAGCAGACAACUGAGAAAGUGAGAAGAGGGAAAGGGAGAUUAGAGCUGCUGGAAGUUAUGGGAAUGGGCAGUUUGGGAAGAAGGAAAUAAGUGAAAGAAAAUUCUUCCCAAAAUCACCCAUUCCUAUUAUUUCCAGUGGUUCCUCCCUUUCCCUUUCAUCUCUAUCCCCUCUUUUUUUCUCAACUUCAUCUUCUGUUCUGUUGUAUAACCAACUUGAGAAAUUUGCCUUAUUCAAAUCCAACAAAUACUGUCCUAGUUUUGGAUAGGGUUGGCAGAGCAGAGCUUAGAGCUUGGAGGACCACACCGAAGGGACAGACUGUAGCAGCGAAUUCUAUUGCUCUUACUACAGCAGCCAUAUAGCUUCAGCCUCUUCAGCAUCAGACCUCAUAUCUUCAAGCAAACUUGAAGAAAAGUCUGUCAAGUUUAUCUUAUCUUAUUUUCUUACAAUUUUUGGUGGGUGUGACGAAAUAUUCGUCAAAUUUUAAAAAGUAAAAUUAUUUAUUAACCCUUGAUAUUAUGGGGCAGUUCAGUUCGGAAUAUUUGAGGUGUUCGGGAAAAGGGCGAGUUGAAGUGAGGAAACUCGUCUGGGAAUUAGACGAGUCAUGGGGCCCAGUCUAGGUGGCGAGUUGGUUGAGUUAUUGAGCUGCCCCAGUCAAAUCGGUUCUUCUUGUACCUCUUCUUUGUUGGAUGAAGUCAGUUUGGAUUUUUUCUCGUCAUUCAAAACAGCAAUCUCAAUUCUCAACAGGAGUAGAAAUUUUCAGUUUGUUUCA